rnacentral:tRNA from 1 species
GGUGUGUUAGUUCAGUUGGUUAGAAUACCUGCCUGUCACGCAGGGGGUCGCGUGUUCGAGUCACGUACACACCG